rnacentral:rRNA from 1 species
UACAGAGGGUGCAAGCGUUAAUCGGAAUUACUGGGCGUAAAGCGUGCGUAGACGGUUAUGUAAGUCGGGUGUGAGAGCCCCGGGCUCAACCUGGGAAUUGCAUUCGAGACUGCAUAGCUAGGGUGCGGAAGAGGGAAGCGGAAUUUCCGGUGUAGCGGUGAAAUGCGUAGAUAUCGGAAGGAACACCAGUGGCGAAAGCGGCUUCCUGGUCCAGCACCGACGUUCAGGCACGAAAGCGUGGGGAGCAAACAGG